CGAUAAGGUUGACCAGUGUUAAACAAAAACAGAUCCUCUCGCACUCAAGAUUGCUUUCAGUGGAGAACUUCCAGGAACUACCAGCCAAGAGCUUCAACCAUUGAGAUGUCAAGACCGGGGACGGCUGAACAACGUUAAAUACUGCAGGAGGAACUCAUUCUCACACUGAUAAGGCUGCAAAAACGGCAGAGUUUUGCAGUUUUUCCACCUCUCUUCAUCAGCGGAAUGGACAGAUGGGACGAAGACCCGUGCUGACCAACGCUUUUCACUCUCAUUUUGUUUCUGAGAGCACAGAUGCACAGUCAAUCCAAGAUGGAGCACUUUGCCCAGACCAUCAGCCCCUCAGUACAUUUGGAAGAACAAACUGUAAUAGCCUCAGCCAUAAUUCCCAUGAAGCAUUUUCAGGCCUGUGAGGAGAUCUGUUCCUGCCAAAGCGGUGCGGAACAGGAGGCCGGGGGUUCGGGGGGGGAGAUAUCCAAGUGCUUGAGAGAAGACAGUGACAAAUUCACGCUUUUCUGUGACUUCAGGCCUGGCACAAAACGCCAUUGACCACAGACACAGGAUGAGGCCCUUAAAGAGGCCAUAUUAUGCCCUUUUACAAAGUCUUGAUGUUGUUUUUGGGCUCAACUAAAACAGCUGUAACUUCUUCCUGAGUCUCUCCAUCAGUGUCGACUCCGGUUUGAACAAUGUAAGGCUGAACACCGUCUUCAUUUUGGCUGCGUGAGAUUCUCCAGCUUUGUUGUUGUUGAGCAACCGAAGCUCGAGCCGUUAAAGCUCCGCCCUCUUCUGGAAAGGGGGCCGGGAGCAGCAGCUCAUUUGCAUUUAAAGGGACACACACAAAAACGGUGUGUUUUUGCUCACACCCAAAUAGAGGCAAAUUUGACAAACUAUAAUAAAUGAUCUGUGGGAUAUUUUGAGCUGAAACUUCACAAAGGGUUUAAAAAACAGUUCAUAUCACGUCUGGUAUCAUCAAAUUGAGAGCAUUGUAUUAUGGGAUUUGGCUCUCACAUAGAGUGAUCUUGCAUAUUUUAACAAAUGUCGAAGGUCAUUCCAUGCAUGCAGAAGAUCCACAUACAAAAAUAACAAGAGUAGUAUGACAUUCUGAGCAUAUCUGAACAUUUUUUUAAAAAUGCAUGCAGCUAUAAAGAUUUAAGUGGGUUUAUUUUAAACCUUUUAUUGCCCAUGAGCCAUUGGUGAAAUUUCCCUUUCUCCAACUCAUCGACCAGAGCUCUGAACGGCUGGAUAAAGAGAUACGGUAUCUACUGUAAUGGCAGCAGAGCGCUGUACACUUCCUCCUCGGGAGGAAACGCUGGUUGUAAAUGUCGUCUGUUGACAUGUGUUGCUAACACAGACGUUUAGUGCUGGGCAGUGGUCAACUUUGAUCCUUUAUCACAAGACAACCAGACCCAAACACCCUACAAUUACUGCAGAGCCAGCCGGGCCGGACAGAACCCCUCGCAGCCUCAACAGGAAGCACAAUCGCUGAAACAAUGAACGACUGCGGCCAGGAACACCACAACCUCCUGCUGCUCGCAGACACACGUCCACAGAAAACUCUCAAGAAUUAUUCCAGGGUCACAUGGUACAUCAUGUCCCCAUCAAAUCCCCCCCAAUAUCACAGUUAAUUAAAUAUGAGUGAAUUUUCAAUCACUUUGACUUGAGAUUUUAUGACAAUUAAUAAAUAUUCAGGUUUAAUUUUUUCCUUGGGAAUACUGUUUUAACUGAUAAUCACUUUAUAGAUUUUUUUUUUCCUGACAUCCUGUUAGUCUUUUGUAAAUCCUAUUAAAAAAACAAAAGCCACUCCCUCAAUGACAUCAUCAUCAUCCAGAAAAUGAUAUCAUUUUGGAGGGAAAACAAGUGAGUAUAAGCAAUGGAUUUGAUUAUUUACUGUGAUAUUUUGUGGUGUUAGUUGGUUUGUGUCCAUCCUUUUUAAUCAAACUACACAACUCAGUUUGCCACUAACUUCAUGAUUACAUUUACAAUUUACAGUCCUUUUCUAGUGUCAUUUUUGUCAACAAUCAAGUUCUAAUGAAUAAAGUUUAAGCAGUGGCGUGCACUUUUAUCGCUGCCAAAUGCUUUCAUAGAUUACAAGCAUAUUUAUAUUCUAAAAGGCACAUCAUUCAGUAGGUUCUGAAUUAGAGGAAGGAUCUAAUGAUAUCAUUUUGGUCUACUGAUAUAUUCCAACAGAAGGCAAACAUUCAAGGUUUUGUUGUGUUGGAGCUUCACCAGCUGGCUGGAUAUCUUCAAUGUUGUGCUUUGACAAGAACAAUAUGGAAGGAAACAUUUUUGGGGAAAGAGAGGUUUGAGAUGUUACACAUCCAGAAGGAAGCCAGGAGUGAAAAAGUACUAUAGCUGAUGUUGCAGGAAGCUGUUCAGAAGAUCAUAUCCAGAGCCUUAAACUAAAUUUUGCCACACCUGCCAAUGACCGGUGACUUAAAGCGGUCAUGAACUGCAUUGUUUUAUUGUUUUAUAAUGUUUCCUGGGGUGCACUUAUAAUGUUACUAUCCUUUUUACUUCAAAAAUGGUCAUAAUUUAGAAAUAAAAGGCAUUUUUCCUA